AAAAUUUCUAAAAUUAUCAGGAACAGAUUUCCAAUUUUUCUUUUUGUGCUCUCCUUUUCUCUCUUCUAGGGUUUCAACGGCAGCAACAACCUUCAUCAACCUCCUCCGCCUCUACCGCUGUGAAAUCACAUCGCCAUCUGUUGCUUUAAUUGAGCAGGUGAUUCAACUCUUGCGGUUACCAAUCAUCUAAACUCAACUACUUUUCUUUUUCCCGCAGAGUCUUGAUGCUUUCCUGAGGAAGAAGGUCCAUUGUAAUAUCAGCACCGGUUUCGAUACUCUUAGGAGGCGAGCUUGAUUUCUUAAGAACAAUUAUAUCACAUCUUGCUGUAAUGAGGGAGGAGCUACUCAUGUAGCUAUAACUUGUAACCGAUGACUAGUGAAGCUUCCGUUGUGGAGAUAAUGGUCGUAUCCGAGGAUGGAAGUGGAAGGAAUGUUUAGAAGGGAAAGACUUAUGCUAUUAUUUCAAAGGCAGUGAGCUCAGCAAAUCAAGU